GUUAAGCGACUAAGCGUACACGGUGGAUGCCCUGGCAGUCAGAGGCGAUGAAGGACGUGCUAAUCUGCGAUAAGCGUCGGUAAGGUGAUAUGAACCGUUAUAACCGGCGAUUUCCGAAUGGGGAAACCCAGUGUGAUUCGUCACACUAUCAUUAACUGAAUCCAUAGGUUAAUGAGGCGAACCGGGGGAACUGAAACAUCUAAGUACCCCGAGGAAAAGAAAUCAACCGAGAUUCCCCCAGUAGCGGCGAGCGAACGGGGAGCAGCCCAGAGCCUGAAUCAGUGUGUGUGUUAGUGGAAGCGUCUGGAAAGGCGCGCGAUACAGGGUGACAGCCCCGUACACAAAAAUGCACAUGCUGUGAGCUCGAUGAGUAGGGCGGGACACGUGGUAUCCUGUCUGAAUAUGGGGGGACCAUCCUCCAAGGCUAAAUACUCCUGACUGACCGAUAGUGAACCAGUACCGUGAGGGAAAGGCGAAAAGAACCCCGGCGAGGGGAGUGAAAAAGAACCUGAAACCGUGUACGUACAAGCAGUGGGAGCCUCUUUAUGGGGUGACUGCGUACCUUUUGUAUAAUGGGUCAGCGACUUAUAUUCUGUAGCAAGGUUAACCGAAUAGGGGAGCCGAAGGGAAACCGAGUCUUAACUGGGCGUUAAGUUGCAGGGUAUAGACCCGAAACCCGGUGAUCUAGCCAUGGGCAGGUUGAAGGUUGGGUAACACUAACUGGAGGACCGAACCGACUAAUGUUGAAAAAUUAGCGGAUGACUUGUGGCUGGGGGUGAAAGGCCAAUCAAACCGGGAGAUAGCUGGUUCUCCCCGAAAGCUAUUUAGGUAGCGCCUCGUGAAUUCAUCUCCGGGGGUAGAGCACUGUUUCGGCAAGGGGGUCAUCCCGACUUACCAACCCGAUGCAAACUGCGAAUACCGGAGAAUGUUAUCACGGGAGACACACGGCGGGUGCUAACGUCCGUCGUGAAGAGGGAAACAACCCAGACCGCCAGCUAAGGUCCCAAAGUCAUGGUUAAGUGGGAAACGAUGUGGGAAGGCCCAGACAGCCAGGAUGUUGGCUUAGAAGCAGCCAUCAUUUAAAGAAAGCGUAAUAGCUCACUGGUCGAGUCGGCCUGCGCGGAAGAUGUAACGGGGCUAAACCAUG
rnacentral:rRNA from 1 species